CUGAUUUUGAUCACUCGAAAUGACUAUCUUUAUCAUAUCUUCCACAUUUUUUGUACCUAUAAGAUUCAGGUUUCCGUACUGCACGUUUCACGACUCUUGGUACCAUCGGCCGUCUGGGUCCGACCAGCCUGGGGACCCACUACCGCGGACAGGACCACGAGGGGCUGGUGCAGCUGAAGGACGGGAUUCAGUACUUCACUGUACCAAAUACUGGGCAGUACAGGGUAGAGGCGGCAGGUUCUGCCGCAGGUUGGGGUGGGGUAGACCCCAAGUCCGCCAGAGGGCGCGGUGCGGUGGUCAGAGGAACCUUUCAACUGCAGAAAGGUGAGGUGUUGAAGAUACUUGCUGGCCAAGAGGGAGGGGAGAACAAGUUUGGCUUUUCUGUUGGCGGUGGAGGCGGAACCUUCGUCACCAAGACGGACAACACGCCGCUGAUCGUGGCGGGGGGUGCGGGAGGAGGUUUUAUGAUGCUUGGUAGGAGCCCCAACAGUGACGGUACAACCGCGACAACGGGACAGACAAGCGGGGGUGGUCAGUCACAUUUUGCAGGAGGUACUGACGGAAAAGGCGCCACACAAGGAAGCGAUGGCCCUGUCGGUGGGGGAGGCGGGGGGCUCCUAACGGACGGCGCGAGUGGACAAGUCAACU